rnacentral:miRNA from 1 species
GGGCCCUGCUCAAUGAGCUUGCAUGCUAGAGGGAGUGGGGUAAAAUGACACAAAAGGUGACACAAAAGGUGUCAUUUUAACCCACUCCCUCUAGCAUGUAAGCUCAUUGAGCAGGGCCC